ACCAUCGAGAAGCUGCUCGGUUAGGCAGGACUCGAACGGCACGUGGAAAAAGGACCUCGAGAAGUAAACAGAGCCGAAACCGCGGAGAAACACAGCCUUCCGGGAGUGUGUGUGAGAGAGAGAGAAACUGAGUAAGCCACCGACAAGCCAUACAGCAACAAGUUGCUACGGUGCUGCAGCAGCCCCGAAGCGAACUCGGAAGGACUCGACGGAGCGCAUUGACGUGCGGCCGAUGGCGAGGCACAUCAUUGCCGCCACCGAACCGGAACGCAGUCUGUGAGAAAGUCGAUACCAACGCGUAGUCCUAGCGUGUCUAGCGUAGUCAUCGCCCGGCACGACAAAUCCGCCAUAAUUCGCGAACGACGGGACGCACCGGCAGUG